rnacentral:tRNA from 1 species
GCAUUGGUGGUUCGUGGUAGAAUUCUCGCCUGCCACGCGGGAGACCGGGGUUCGAUUCCCGCCAAUGCA